rnacentral:rRNA from 1 species
AUCGAACGCUGGCGGCAGGCCUAACACAUGCAAGUCGAACGAGUGGCGGACGGGUGAGUAAUGUCUGGGAAACUGCCUGAUGGAGGGGGAUAACUACUGGAAACGGUAGCUAAUACCGCAUACCAUCGGAUGUGCCCAGAUGGGAUUAGCUAGUGGGUGGGGUAAAGGCUCACCUAGGCGACGAUCCCUAGCUGGGCUGAGAGGAUGACCGGCCAAACGGGAACUGGGACACGGUCCAGACUCCUACGGGGGGAAGCAGGGGGGAAUUUUGCACAAUGGGGGAAAGCCGGAUGCAGCAAGGCGGCGUGUAUGAAGAAGGCCUUCGGGUUGUAAAGUACUUUCAGCGGGGAGGCGUUACCCGCAGAGGAAGCAACGGCUAACUCCGUGCCAGCAGCCGCGGUAAUUC